GGCGUGGGAGACGGAUCGUUUACUUUGAAAAAAUCAGAGUGUUUCAAGCAGGCAGCUCGCUCUUGCAUGGUACAGCAUGGGAUGAUUGAAUAGGACUCCGGUGCUAUUUUGUUGGUUUCGAACACCAGGAGUAAUGAUUAACAGGGACAGUCAGGGGCACUCGUAUUCCGUCGAGAGAGGUGAAAUUCUCAGACCAAUGGAAGACGAACCACUGCGAAAGCAUUUGCCAGGGAUGUUUUCACUGAUCAAGAACGAAAGUUAGGGGAUCGAAGACGAUCAGAUACCGUCGUAGUCUUAACCAUAAACCAUGCCGACUAGGGAUUGGAGGGUGUUCGUUUCGACCUCUUCAGCACCUUACGGGAAACUAAAGUCUUUGGGUUCCGGGGGGAGUAUGGUCGCAAGGCUGAAACUUAAAGGAAUUGACGGAAGGGCACCACCAGGAGUGGAGCCUGCGGCUUAAUUUGACUCAACACGGGGAAACUUACCAGGUCCAGACAUUGUUAGGAUUGACAGAUUGAGAGCUCUUUCUUGAUUCGAUGGGUGGUGGUGC
rnacentral:rRNA from 1 species